rnacentral:rRNA from 1 species
UGCAAGUCGAGCGGAUCUUCAUUAGCUUGCUUUUGAAGAUCAGCGGCGGACGGGUGAGUAACACGUGGGCAACCUGCCUGUAAGACUGGGAUAACUUCGGGAAACCGGAGCUAAUACCGGAUAAUCCUUUCCCUCACAUGAGGGAAAGCUGAAAGACGGCUUCUCGCUGUCACUUACAGAUGGGCCCGCGGCGCAUUAGCUAGUUGGUGAGGUAACGGCUCACCAAGGCAACGAUGCGUAGCCGACCUGAGAGGGUGAUCGGCCACACUGGGACUGAGACACGGCCCAGACUCCUACGGGAGGCAGCAGUAGGGAAUCUUCCGCAAUGGACGAAAGUCUGACGGAGCAACGCCGCGUGAACGAUGAAGGCUUUCGGGUCGUAAAGUUCUGUUGUCAGGGAAGAACAAGUACCGGAGUAACUGCCGGUACCUUGACGGUACCUGACCAGAAAGCCACGGCUAACUACGUGCCAGCAGCCGCGGUAAUACGUAGGUGGCAAGCGUUGUCCGGAAUUAUUGGGCGUAAAGCGCGCGCAGGCGGUUCCUUAAGUCUGAUGUGAAAGCCCCCGGCUCAACCGGGGAGGGUCAUUGGAAA